CGAACGCUGGCGGCGUGCUUAACACAUGCAAGUCGAACGGAAAGGCCCUGCUUUUGUGGGGUGCUCGAGUGGCGAACGGGUGAGUAACACGUGAGUAACCUGCCCUUGACUUUGGGAUAACUUCAGGAAACUGGGGCUAAUACCGGAUAGGAGCUCCUGCUGCAUGGUGGGGGGUGGAAAGUUUCGGCGGUUGGGGAUGGACUCGCGGCUUAUCAGCUUGUUGGUGGGGUAGUGGCUUACCAAGGCUUUGACGGGUAGCCGGCCUGAGAGGGUGACCGGCCACAUUGGGACUGAGAUACGGCCCAGACUCCUACGGGAGGCAGCAGUGGGGAAUAUUGCACAAUGGGCGGAAGCCUGAUGCAGCAACGCCGCGUGCGGGAUGACGGCCUUCGGGCUGUAAACCGCUUUCGCCUGUGACGAAGCGUGAGUGACGGUAAUGGGUAAAGAAGCACCGGCUAACUACGUG
rnacentral:rRNA from 1 species